rnacentral:rRNA from 1 species
GGACCCGCACAAGUAGUGGAGCAUGUGGUUUAAUUCGAAGAUACGCGCAGAACCUUACCAACACUUGACAUGUUCGUCGCGACUUUAAGAGAUUAAAGUUUUCGGUUCGGCCGGACGAAACACAGGUGCUGCAUGGCUGUCGUCAGCUCGUGUCGUGAGAUGUUGGGUUAAGUCCCGCAACGAGCGCAACCCUCACUUUUAGUUGCCAUCAUUUAGUUGGGCACUCUGAAAGAACUGCCAGUGAUAAGCUGGAGGAAGGUGGGGAUGACGUCAAGUCCUCAUGGCCCUUACGUGUUGGGCUACACACGUGCUACAAUGGCAUUUACAAUAGGAAGCAAGACGGCGACGUUAAGCAAAUCCUAAAAAAUGCCUCAGUUCGGAUUGUACUCUGCAACUCGAGUACAUGAAGCUGGAAUUACUAGUAAUCGC